AUUGAACGCUGGCGGCAUGCUUUACACAUGCAAGUCGAACGGUAACAGGCCUUCGGGUGCUGGCGAGUGGCGAACGGGUGCGUAAUGCAUCGGAACGUACCCAGAGGUGGGGGAUAACGCAGCGAAAGCUGUGCUAAUACCGCAUGUGAUCUGAGGAUGAAAGCGGGGGACCGAGCAGCAAUGUUUGGCCUCGCGCCUUUGGAGCGGCCGAUGUCGGAUUAGCUAGUUGGUGGGGUAAAGGCCUACCAAGGCGACGAUCCGUAGCUGGUCUGAGAGGACGACCAGCCACACUGGGACUGAGACACGGCCCAGACUCCUAAGGGAGGCAGCAGUGGGGAAUUUUGGACAAUGGGCGCAAGCCUGAUCCAGCAAUGCCGCGUGCGGGAAGAAGGCCUUCGGGUUGUAAACCGCUUUUGGCAGGAACGAAACGGUGUCCGCUAAUACCGGGCGCUAAUGACGGUACCUGCAGAAUAAGCACCGGCUAACUACGUG
rnacentral:rRNA from 1 species